rnacentral:misc_RNA from 1 species
AAGUCGUAACAAGGUUUCCGUAGGUGAACCUGCGGAAGGAUCAUUAACAAAUCUAACAACAACCAUGUUGAACCGUUUCGUUCCCUUGGCUGUGCUGCUGUGGCUGCAUCGAUGAUGAUGAUGAUAGCAAUGGGGAUGGGAGGAUGCGACAGCUAACCACCAGCUCUAUUAGCUAGCUGUUCGCCCACAUCCUGGAUGUGGGUGGUAGAGUAAGCUAAGCAGAGCGCGGCCGGCCGGCCAAGGGACAGACAACUAACCAAAUACGCUUUGAUUGACAUGAUGCCUAUGAUGAUACAUAAC